rnacentral:rRNA from 1 species
UUUCGCAAUGCCCGAAAGGGUGACGAAGCGACGACGCGUGUGGGAAGAAGGCCUUCGGGUUGUAAACCACUGUCGGGAGUUAGGAAAUGCAGGUGCGUUAAUAGCGCACUUGCUUGACUAAGGCUCCAGAGGAAGCCACGGCUAACUCUGUGCCAGCAGCCGCGGUAAUACAGAGGCGGCAAGCGUUGUUCGGAAUUAUUGGGCGUAAAGAGCACGUAGGCGGCCUUGCAAGUCAGUUGUGAAAGCCUUCCGCUUAACGGAAGAACGGCAUCUGAUACUACAGGGCUUGAGUACGGGAGGGGAGAGUGGAACUUCUGGUGGAGCGGUGAAAUGCGUAGAUAUCAGAAGGAACGCCGGCGGCGAAAGCGACUCUCUGGUCCGAAACUGACGCUGAGUGUGCGAAAGCUAGGGGAGCAAACGGGAUUAGAUACCCCGGUAGUCCUAGCCGUAAACGAUGGGCACUAAGUAGAGGGGUUUU